rfam:Magnetospirillum moscoviense strain BB-1 NODE_41_length_34039_cov_102.233_ID_5942, whole genome shotgun sequence.
CGCCGGGCCAAGGCCCCCCAACGGGCCGCGUCCCUUCUGCGAGGGAGGGUUAU